CAGCAUUUCCUCUAAACUUUGUACAUUAUAAAUAAUUGUUGGUUACGUGAACAACUAACCUAUAAAAAAGUGUCUAGUCAUGAUAUUAAUCUGUGAUAACUAACGUUUAUACAGGGAUUAGUUUUAAAAUUAUUUCACUUUCACGUUGCCGAACUGUAAGGAUACAAUGAAAUACAAACAACGAAGCAUAUUUCACCGAUAACCAAAUAGUAAAAGGCCAAACGGUUAAUAAAGAAGAUUUAUGCAGGUCAGGAUUAACAAUAUGGUAGAAAACAUUAACGUAGUUCUAAUAAUUAUAAGGAAUGUGAUUUAAAUGAUUAAUAUUUUGUGACAAUGGUGAUACAAAGACGAAACACACGAGACAAUAGGAAAUAUACUUAAAAAUAUAUAUAUAUAUAUAUAAACAACUAGGAUAUAUUGAGCAACUUGGCAUAUUAAAAUAGAAAUUCGCCAAGUCAAAAUAAAAUCGUGUCAGAUUUUUAAAACUGAAUUGUGCGAUGUAAUAAUAUCCUUUUUUUUUCUCUCCUUGUAUUCGGAUAUUAUUUUUGUUUUGUAAAAUAUCUAUAUUUUAUAAACGAUUGAUAAAAUAUGUUAAUUGUUUUUUUAACAAAUCUAUUAAACGUGACCGGGUGAAACAUUGGUUUCCACCUUCACUACAAGAUGGCGUACUAUCAAAACUUUCCAUUUUGGUUUAAAAUAUCUUCAAACUUUUCUCAAAUAAAACAACAAAGAAAUUUAUUAUGAAUAACAUCUUAUUUAAAUAAAUUAUAAUUAUAACGUCUUAUUUAAAUAAAUAUUUAAUUUAAAUCAAUAGCAUUUAAAGAAUUAGAUGCAGAUUCCAUGUACAAUAGAUUUAUUUAGUUUUGGUUCUCGUUGCUAGAUGGCGCUGAUUAAAUAUGAAAUUAUUUCUACUUGACAUUUUAUAUAUUUAUAAAUAUGAAAUUACGUAAGAUGAUUUGUAAAUUAAAUAGGUAUUAGAAAUAUCUUCAAUUUUGAUACAUUUUCUAAAUAAUGAUGUUAUAGGGAAACAUAUUUAAAGAAACCAAGCUUAGUAAACGACUGUGUUAUUAUAAAGGUUAGUAUUUAUUUAUUUUGACAGAAUCAUUAUAUUGGUAUAUCAAAUUAUAAUACCGGGUGAAUCAAAAUGUAAUUUUGGUAAAUAAAUAUAUUAAAUAAAGUAUGAUAAUCAAUUAAUAUAUUUUAUCAAUUAUAAAUACAGUUUCUAUGACAUAAUUAUUUUAUUAUUAAACUAUCAAGUAUUUUUUUUUCUUAUCUAUUUCAUUAAAACUACUUACCGUUCAACUAUUACUAAAUUUUAUAUAUUCAAUAAUAAUAUAAUAAGUAUAACGUUUACAAAAGAAAUAAAAGCAUUUUAUUUUUAUACUCCAGCAAUUUUUCUGUCCUUUUUCGAUUAAUACUUCGAUUUAAAAUGAUGGAAUUUGAAAAGAAACUGUCUUUAAACAUUCUAAGGUCUAAAAUAAGAUUCAAAACACCAUCAGACAUAACCUAACCUAACCUAACUUUACCAUCAGAGGGCUACUAUCCAAAUAGAGAUGGAAAUCAAUUGAAUUGUAAUAUUUUUAAUAACGAAAUACAUUGAGGAAAGUUAUUUAUACGUUUAUUUCAGUAAAAUUUAUAGUUUUAGAACCAGGGAAUAUAAAAAACUUAAUUUUGAAAAAGAAAAUGUGAAAAUCGAAUAUUUGACGAAAAACAAUCAUUUUGUAGGGCGAAUUUAAUUUUUUUUUAUAUAUAAUGAAAAAUUGAUGAGUAUUGCUUCGAAAAAGAAAAAAGAAGAAAAAAUCGUCUCAUCUCUUUUGUAAACAUUUUUUUAACUACUGAUUCGUUUGAUUGCAUCAAUAGGGUUUUGUAAAAGUUAAACGUUUCGAAUGGCAAAUAAAUUAUUUUCAAAUAUCAACAGAUCGGGUGUCCCAAUAAAAAUGCACGAUUCGAAUCAUUUUCUUUUUCAUAAACGGAAUUUUUGUUAUUUACCUCGUAAAAUAAAUCGUACAACUCAUAUUAGGACACCCUGUAUCAUAGGAAUAUGUAGUUGAGUUAUAAAAGGAAAAAAUACCGAUUCAAGAGAAAUUUUCAUUUCGAAUUCAACAUGAAACGUAUUUUCCUAAUAGAAUUUUGUUUUAUAUUGCUUUAAAAAUGAUAAAUGAUUUUUUAACUACGUAAAUUUUGAUUCUUUUUAGUAUUCGUAGCAUAUUACAUCUCCUAGGGCAGCUCAUCUCGAUAAACUCAAAACCUCAUUCAAAUCUUACUUUUUGAAUAGCCCUCGUAUUACCGCGAUAUGGGGUAAAUCAUGUGAUAAAAAUUUAUGUACGUCAUCAGUAAACGACGAUGCCUGCCAACAGGUUACAGUUUUCUCCCACCAAUAUAUUUAAAUAUACCAACGUAAACGAUACAUCUCUGAAGGAUAAAAAAUUGAUCAAAUUUAUGAAAUUUUGAUUUCUGGUAAUAUAAAAUCGAUAAAUCAUUCUUUAUUACUUUUUAUACGACUUUAAAUAUCUUUGUUAUAAGCUAAGUUUCUCGAAACUCCAUAUUACUUUCGAAGUUUGGCAACGUUGUCGAAAUCCCAAUUUCCACUCGGUCGAUGACUUACAUAAAUGUUAUUAAAGUCAAAGGUUUCUACAGAAUAUUUUAUACAAAAAUUGUAUUUAUAUUUAUAUAAUUUCUCUUGAAGGUUUUUUAUUUAUAAACUUUUAUCAAUUAUCAACAAAAUUGUAUCUAUGUACGCAAUAAAAAUUGUCCUAUUAAA